UACGUAGGAGGCAAGCGUUGUCCGGAUUUACUGGGCGUAAAGGGCGCGUAGGCGGCCUGAUAAGUCGGGGGUGAAAUCCUGUGGCUCAACCACAGGGCUGCCUCCGGGACUGUCGGGCUCGAGCACAGUAGAGGCAGGUGGAAUUCCCGGUGUAGCGGUGGAAUGCGUAGAGAUCGGGAAGAACAUCGGUGGCGAAGGCGGCCUGCUGGGCUGUUGCUGACGCUGAGGCGCGACAGCGUGGGGAGCAAACAGG
rnacentral:rRNA from 1 species